rnacentral:rRNA from 1 species
GUGGGGAAUUUUGGACAAUGGGCGCAAGCCUGAUCCAGCCAUGCCGCGUGCAGGAUGAAGGCCUUCGGGUUGUAAACUGCUUUUGUACGGAACGAAAAGACUCCUUCUAAUAAAGGGGGUCCAUGACGGUACCGUAAGAAUAAGCACCGGCUAACUACGUGCCAGCAGCCGCGGUAAUACGUAGGGUGCGAGCGUUAAUCGGAAUUACUGGGCGUAAAGCGUGCGCAGGCGGUUAUAUAAGACAGAUGUGAAAUCCCCGGGCUCAACCUGGGAACUGCAUUUGUGACUGUAUAGCUAGAGUACGGCAGAGGGGGAUGGAAUUCCGCGUGUAGCAGUGAAAUGCGUAGAUAUGCGGAGGAACACCGAUGGCGAAGGCAAUCCCCUGGGCCUGUACUGACGCUCAUGCACGAAAGCGUGGGGAGCAAACAGGAUUAGAUACCCUGGUAGUCC